rnacentral:rRNA from 1 species
GGGGAAAUUCAUGCGCGUUUCGGCUGCUGGCGGAAGAUGAUCGUGUGACGGACGUCGUUCGCGUCGUCCGCUCCUUUCGUUUUUCGAACCGGCGUCGAACGCGUGCACUUUUCCCCUAGUAGGACGUCGCGAUCCGUUGGGUGUCGGUCUACGGCUCACGGUGGAGCCCGUGCGUACGGUUCGCCGUUUUGCGUGCGGACCCGUGAUGUCCCGGCCGACUCGCUCGACGGUAUACGGAUGGCGCGAGGCCGCUACAUUAGUUAGCGUCCGACCCGCGGCAAACGCUC